UACAGAGGGUGCGAGCGUUGUCCGGAAUCACUGGGCGUAAAGGGCGCGUAGGUGGCCCGACAAGUCAAUGGUGAAAGUUCGACGCUUAACGUCGAAUCGGCCACUGAUACUGUUGGGCUGGAGCACUGUAGAGGCUCAUGGAAUUCCGGGUGUAGCGGUGGAAUGCGUAGAGAUCCGGAAGAACACCGGUGGCGAAGGCGGCUUCCUGGACCGAUACUGACGCUGAGGCGCGAAAGCUAGGGGAGCAAACGGG
rnacentral:rRNA from 1 species